GGACACGUGAUAUCCUGUCUGAACAUGGGGGGACCAUCCUCCAAGGCUAAAUACUCCUGACUGACCGAUAGUGAACCAGUACCGUGAGGGAAAGGCGAAAAGAACCCCUGUGAGGGGAGUGAAAUAGAUCCUGAAACCGUAUGCGUACAAGCAGUCGGAGCGGACUUGUUCCGUGACGGCGUACCUUUUGUAUAAUGGGUCAGCGACUUAUGUUCAGUGGCGAGGUUAACCGUUUAGGGGAGCCGUAGGGAAACCGAGUCUGAAUAGGGCGAUUUAGUCGCUGGGCAUAGACCCGAAACCGGGCGAUCUAUCCAUGAGCAGGUUGAAGGUGCCGUAACAGGCACUGGAGGACCGAACCCACUGUCGUUGAAAAGCCAGGGGAUGACUUGUGGAUCGGAGUGAAAGGCUAAUCAAGCCCGGAGAUAGCUGGUUCUCCCCGAAAGCUAUUUAGGUAGCGCCUCGGACGAAUACCACAGGGGGUAGAGCACUGUUUCGGCUAGGGGGUCAUCCCGACUUACCAACCCGAUGCAAACUCCGAAUACCUGUGAGUACUAUCCGGGAGACACACGGCGGGUGCUAACGUCCGUCGUGAAGAGGGAAACAACCCAGACCGCCAGCUAAGGUCCCCAAAUUCCAGUUAAGUGGGAAACGAUGUGGGAAGGCUCAGACAGCUAGGAGGUUGGCUUAGAAGCAGCCAUCCUUUAAAGAAAGCGUAAUAGCUCA
rnacentral:rRNA from 16 species